UGACAUUCAUCCCACGGGUUACACUUGCUCCCUUUAACUUCAAUAUGGGCUUCGGAAGAAGGGCCGGAAAACCAGACAGCUUUUGGCAGGACGGCCUCUGAAGGGCUGCAGUCUUGCCCCGGGCACAUGCACAGUUCAUCUCUUAAUGUUCCUGCGCGAUGUUUUUAAACCAAACUGGAUUUAACUUUUUAAAUGCAGCAUCCCUGAUUCUUAGGAAGUUGACUGGGAGUUAAUGAAAGCUUCCCAAUAAAAAGCUUACCAUCAAAUGGAUCUUCUAGGCCUGAUAUUUACCCAGGUUCUAGUUUUCACCCUGCCAUGCACUAACUCCAUCUUAGAUCAGUGAGCAGCCCUUGAUACACAUUAAGGAUCCCUGAGCACCCAGCUCUAACCAAGUAAAAGCUCAAAUCAGGAGUUCGAACACACACACUCACACACAUGCAUUGCCAAUUUUGAGGGGGGAACCAGCGGACUGUGUCAACAAUUCUCUUGUUAAAAUCAAAUUAGAGUUUUAUUGUGGUGGCUAUAUUGUAUUAAAAUCUGGAUUUUUUUUCCUAAAAAGCUUGCAUUGUCUAUAUAGUGAAUCUAAUAUGGAAAAUUUCUAUUUCAAUAACAGUUGUCACUGAACUUUCCUGACCGAACAGCUCAGCCGCAGUGUUCCCUGGGGUGGGGGGGAGGCCCACAGGGGUGGCUUGAGCUCAGGAUGCUGUCCCCUGUGGGCUGACAUCAGCUCCCCACUUCUUCACAAGGCCUCGGCUUACCUGCACAGUGGCUUUGAAGGAUGGGCUUUUAAGACCUAGUCUGUGGGUGAAAUGCUUUUAUAGAUUUUAUUUCAGAAGGGACCCGGGUUCAAUAAAGAGAGUUUUUCAUUUAAUUAAUAUUUAUUGACUAAGUCCUGAGCCAAGCACUGCAGUUAACAGUAAAGGAGGGAAUAAGGAAGAAAUAGGUGAGCACGUUGUGCAAAGCGACAUAGGCUCGGAGGACAUACCCACCACUAAGGUUGUCUGAGAAAAGUCCGUGACCGUGACUAUAGCACUUGGGCAGAGCCGACAAAAUGAGGAGGUGUCCAGCAAAUAUAGGGAUCUGAUGGGAGGUGAGGCCAGAGGGAAAGGCAUUCUGAGACUGAGCCUGGGUUCAAGGAAAUAGGCCGAUAAAAGGAAAGUCUGGGUUUGCGUGGGAAGCUGUAAUUCACUCUUGUAACCCCAAUGGGAGGCAUGGGAAAAUAAGCCUGGCCAGGGACACCCUGUAUGAGGCAGACCAGGGGACCUAGGCUGGGUGCUGGCAGGGUGAAGACACAUGAAGACGAAAACCCAGUUUGCAUGGUCCUGAUAACAUCUAAUGCUGGCAUUACUCUUAAAAUCCUAAGUACUUUAUUUAGUUGGCACAGGCAUGCUUUACUGGAAUAUUUGCUUUUAAAGGUUAGUUGAUUGCCAGGGAAUAUUUGUUUAUUUUUCUAUGUCCCUGUUCUUACACAAACACCCCUCAGGUUAACACAACACCCUCCUGUCUGCUCACAGCAUCGAAAUAAAAUUUAGGCAACUUUCCAAAUCACUAACAACGGUAAUAAAGGGAAUAAAAACCCAACGGCCCAGAAUUACAACAAUUUGAGGAGAUUCGUGCUUUCAACCUACACCCAGUUUGCUGGUUUAUUCUGGAUACACCCAUUUCUGGAUUCCUCCGUACGCACAAGAAUAAACAGAAGUCUACGCUAAGCUCUGUCAAAACAUUGGGAUUUAAUGCCAUGUUUC
rnacentral:lncRNA from 1 species